rnacentral:rRNA from 1 species
UGGGGAAUAUUGGGCAAUGGGCGAAAGCCUGACCCAGCAACGCCGCGUGAAGGAAGAAGGUCUUCGGAUUGUAAACUUCUUUUAUGAGGGACGAAGGACGUGACGGUACCUCAUGAAUAAGCCACGGCUAACUACGUGCCAGCAGCCGCGGUAAUACGUAGGGGGCGAGCGUUGUCCGGAAUUAUGGGCGUAAAGGGUGCGUAGGCGGUUUGGUAAGUUGGAUGUGAAAUACCCGGGCUUAACUUGGGGGCUGCAUCCAAUACUGUCGGACUUGAGUGCAGGAGAGGAAAGCGGAAUUCCUAGUGUAGCGGUGAAAUGCGUAGAUAUUAGGAGGAACACCGGUGGCGAAGGCGGCCUUCUGGACUGUAACUGACGCUGAGGCACGAAAGCGUGGGGAGCAAACAGGAUUAGAUACCCUGGUAGU